UUUGUUUUAUGUUUGGCGGGGGCUGUAAGAUUUUGUGGGGGCAACCUAUAUAAACCCACAUGUCACUCAUUUUUUACAUUCUUUCUUUUAAAAAAUGUCAGAAGAAUGACAAGAGCUCCUGCUCUCACUCACUCCCAUGGCCAACUUACCCAAAAAGCUCACCCCCAAGCUCUUUCUCACUCUCCUCAAAUCAGAAAAAGACACAACCGCAGCUCUCUCUCUCUUCCAUUCCGCAACUUCUCACCCAAAUUACACUCACACACCCACCAUCUACCAACACAUUCUCCGGCGCCUUGCAGACCCGAAGCUCAUCCCUCAGAUUAGCGGAAUCAUCGAAACUAUUAAAACCCAACAAUGCCAGUGCUCUGAAGACGUUGCCUUGACGGUGCUCAAGGCGUAUGCGAAGAAUUCUUUGGUUGGCAAUGCUCUGAAUGUGUUUGAUAAAAUGUCCGAGAUUUUCGGGUGCGAGCCGGGGGUGAGGUCGUGUAAUUGUGUGCUGAAUGGGUUUGUUGUGACGGGGGAGUGGCGGAAAGCGGAGAUGUUUUUCAGGUCUUUUGAGGUUAUGGGUGUGAAGGCUAAUGUGGAGAGUUUUAAUAUUUUGAUUAAGAUGUUGUGUAAUAAGGGGGUGUUUGAGAAGGCGAUGGAGAUGGUGGAGUGGAUGUGGAGGGAGGGGGUGAGGCCGAAUGUGGUUAGUUAUGGGACAGUGAUUAAUGGGCUUGCGAAGAGUGGGAAUUUGAGGGAUGCGGUUAAGCUGUUUGAUGAAAUGUUUGAGAGAGAAGUUGUGCCGGAUGUAAUGUGUUAUAAUGUUUUGAUUGAUGGUUUUUUUAAGAAUGGGGAUUUUUUGGGGGUGAAUGGGGUGUGGGAGAGGUUGAUUAAAGGGGCGGAUGUUUAUCCGAAUGUUGUAACGUAUAAUCUUAUGAUAAGUGGUUUGUGUAAGUGCGGGAAGUUUGAUAAGGGUAUGGAGAUAUGGAACAGGAUGAAGGCGAAUGAACGGGAGGUUGAUUUGUUUACAGUUAGUAGUUUGAUACAUGGGUUGUGUCAGUCGGGGAGUGUGGAUGCGGCGUCUAGAAUUUAUAAGGAAAUGAUUGAGAGGGGUGUUUGUCCUGAUGCUGUAGUAUGCAAUACUUUACUUGAUGGUUAUUGUAGAACAGGAAAAUUGAAAGAAGGCUAUGAGUUGUGGCAUUAUAUGGGUACAGCGUGUUUACGGAAUAUAGUAAGUUUCAACAUUUUUGUGAAAGGGUUGUUUGAGAAUGCAAAGGUGGGCGAGGCGAUGCAGCUAUGGCAAGACUGGCGUGAUAAUAAUUGCUUUUCUGCUGACUCGACAACUUACGGGAUUCUGAUACACGGGUUUUGUAAGAAUGGAUACCUUAACAGGGCUUUGAUGGUUCUGAAAGAUGCAGAGGACAGUGGAGAUGAUCUUGAUGUAUAUUCAUACUCUUCAAUGAUCAAUGGGUUAUGCAAUGAGGGCAGGCUAAAUGAAGCAAUGACUAUGUUUGACCACAUGACUCUUCAUAACUGUAAACCAAAUGUUAAUGUAUGCAAUACACUGAUUAAAGGUUUCAUUCAAACAUCCAAAAUUAAGGAUGCAGUUCGUUUUUUUGGUGAAAUGGUCACUAAAGACUGCAUUCCUAAUCUGGUUACAUACAACACACUGAUCAACGGAUUAUGCAGAUUAGAACAAUUUGAUGAAGCCUACCACCUUGUGAAGGAAAUGCUGGAUAAAGGAUGGAAGCCAGAUAUGGUCACAUAUAGUUUAUUGAUGAAUGGUCUGUUUCAAGGCAAAAAAAUAGACAUGGCUCUUCCGCUGUGGCAGGAAGCUGUUAAUAAGGGUAUAAAGCCUGAUGUAACUAUGCACAACAUCGUAAUUCACGGCCUCUGUUCUUCUGGCAAAGUUAAAGAUGCUUUGCAACUAUUUUUAACUAUGACCCGAUGGACUUGUGCCCCAAAUCUUGUAACCCACAACACCCUAAUGGAUGGUUUCUCCAAAUCUGGAGACUCUGAGAAUGCAUUAGUGGUUUGGGCCCGCAUUUUAAGAAGUGGGCUCCAGCCAGAUAUAGUCUCCUGCAACAUUAUGCUUAAGGGGCUAUGUUCAUGUUGUAGAAUACCAGAUGCGGUUUGUUUCUUGGAAUAUGCCGUGGGUAAAGGAAUACGCCCGACCAUUGUUACAUGGAAUAUACUUGUGAGAUCAGUUAUUGGUGGUGUUCCUAUAUAAUGCUGACAUCUAAUUUCAUAAAGUAAAUAUUACGUAUUACCCAUGUAUGAGGAUGGGAUGCGGAACUCUGUAUUUUGAGGCAUUUCCAAAUCUCUCACUCCUUGGAACUAUGUCUUACAAAAAAUUCGUUACAAGUCCAAAUAUCAAGAAUGGAAACAGGAGGUUCUUCAGCUGCUUCGAAUUCAGAAACAGUGGGUUCAUUAGAGGCUCAGGCUGUUAAGAGAAAAUCUGAUGAUGUUGGAUGGGAUUAUGGUGAAUUAACACUACCGAAUAAUUAUGAUAAAAUCAAAUGCAAGCUGUGUGACAAAGCAUUUAGUGGAGGAAUUUAUCGUUUGAAGCAACAUAUAGCUGGUCUUAGAGGUAAUGUGAAGCCAUGUCCAAAGUCUACUCCGUUGGAUAAAACUAAAUGCUUACAAGCUUUGGAGGGAUCAAAAAAGAUAAGACAAGAUAAGAAAGAACGUAUUGAGGAAGUUAGGGAAGAGGUUGAAAUCAGUAGAGACAAUGAUGAUGUUGUUGAGAUCGACAAUGCAGGUUCUAAACCCGUGCGACCACUUGGACCUAUGGAUCAGUUUGCACGCGCAAUAUAUCCUGAUGCAUCAAUGAGGAAGACAAGACAACAAAAUAUUAAUGAUGCACUUUUUAAGAAUAGAACCAAUGAAGUACAUACUUACUUGGCUAAGUGGGUGUAUGGUGCUGGGAUUCCUUUCAAUGCAAUUAUCAAUGAUGACUUUCAACGAUUUUGUGAAGCGGUUGGACAAUUUGGCCCUGGAUAUAUGCCACCAAGCCAACACCAAUUGCGGGAGCCACUACUGAAGAAAGAAGUAGAGAGGACUAAGCAGUCUUUAAAAGAGCAGGAGGAUGAAUGGAAAAAAUCAGGAUGUUCGAUAAUGACCGAUGCUUAGUCUGAUCGGAAAAGAAGAAGCAUUAUGAAUUUGUGUGUAAACUGUAAACUAGGCACAAGCUUUCUGUCUUCUAUUGAAUGCUCAAAUGAGGCUCAUACCGCCAAGUUCAUAUUUGAGUACGUGGAUAAAUAUAUUCAAGAAGUUGGAUCAAACAAUGUUAUCCAGGUGGUGACGGAUAAUGCCUCAAAUAACAUGGCUGCAGCGAAGCUAUUGAGAGAAAAAAGACCACAUAUAUUCUGGACUUCAUGUGCUACACAUACACUGAAUCUUAUGCUUGAGGCCAUAGGAAAAACUCCAAAAUUCAAGUUUGUGAUUGACAAAGCAAAGGCUCUGACCAUUUUUAUCUAUGCGCACCAUAAGACCUUGGCCUUGAUGAGAAAGUAUACUAAUAAAAGAGAUAUUGUGAGGCCGGGAGUUACACGAUUUGCAAGUUCUUUUCUUACCAUGCAAAGUAUAUUGGAGAAAAAAGAAAAGCUGAAAUUUAUGUUUCUCUCGGAGGAAUGGGGUCAGUGCAAAUUCUCAACUAGUGCUAAAGGUGUGGCUUCUUAUGCGACAAUUGUUAAUCAAUCCUUUUGGACUAAUCUUGCAAUGUGUUUUGAGUUGUUCAAACCUUUAGUAAAGGUUCUAAGACUUGUUGACGGAGAUUGGCGUCCAUCUAUGGGUUUUGUAUAUGGUGAACUCAAAGAUGCCAAGAAAGAAAUUAUUAAACUUUGUAAAGAUACAAAAGAGAUAUACGAGCCCAUUAUCCAAAUCAUAGACUCGAGGGCUAAGGACCGACUUGAUAGUCCUUUACACUUAGCCGGCUACUUGUUAAAUCCUUAUUACUACUAUCGAGAUGACGAGGCACAAAAAGAUCCGGCAUGUAUGACAGCUAUUUUAACAUGUGUUGAAGCAUUCUUCCCGGAUAAUUUUCAUGUCCAGCACCUGGUUUCUAAUAUUGAGUUGCUGAAAUAUAAAGGAAUGGAGGGAAUGUUUGGAAAAAAAUUAGCAAAAAUGGGUAGAAUGACCAAUAAUGAUACUUUUGAUGUUGUUGGAUGGUGGUCAAAUUACGGCGCUAAAACUCCAAAUUGCAAAUGAUGGUCAUGAAGAUACUUUCUUUAACUUCAAGUUCUUCGGGAUGUGAAAGAAAUUGGAGUACAUUUGAGGGAAUUCAUACCAAAAAGAGGAAUAGAUUAGAUGCGGCAAGAAUGAGCCAUCUAGUAUAUGUGCAAUUUAAUUCAAAACUUUUCAACAAGAAAAAGAAAAUGAAAGAAAAAUAUGAUGUAUUGAUAGCUAAUGAUGCUAGCAUGGCUCAAGGAUGGAUAGUUGAAGGGGGUGAUGAUGAAGAAGAGCUUUCCCAAGAUUCUAACAUCACAAGUGAGGAAAUUGGUACUGAAGUAACUAGAAGGAAUGUUCGAGAACUUGAUGAAGAAGAUUUCGAAUUAGAAGAUGAAACUAAUGACAAUGAAAAUCUCACAUUUGAUUUUGAGGAUUAUGAUCAACAGGGAUGGUGAAAGAUUGUUGUGUCUUCUGAUUGUAAUUAUAACUUGAACAUAUGUGAUAUGUGUUUUGUGAAGUACAUUUGACUUUGUGAACAAAGAUAUUAUGGCUUGUAGGUUUUAUUAUAACAUGGGAAUAUAUUUGGUUAUGAAAAAUUAAUAUUAUA